rnacentral:rRNA from 1 species
CCUACGGGCGGCAGCAGUGAGGAAUAUUGGUCAAUGGGCUUACGCCUGAACCAGCCAAGUCGCGUGAGGGAAGACUGCCCUAUGGGUUGUAAACCUCUUUUGUCAGGGAGCAAUUGGCGCUACGUGUAGCGUUAUCGAGAGUACCUGAAGAAAAAGCAUCGGCUAACUCCGUGCCAGCAGCCGCGGUAAUACGGAGGAUGCGAGCGUUAUCCGGAUUUAUUGGGUUUAAAGGGUGCGUAGGCGGACUGGAAAGUCAGCGGUAAAAUCGAGAGGCUCAACCUCUUUCCGCCGUUGAAACUGUCGGUCUUGAGUGGGCGAGAAGGAUGCGGAAUGCGUGGUGUAGCGGUGAAAUGCAUAGAUAUCACGCAGAACGCCGAUUGCGAAGGCAGCAUACCGGCGCCCGACUGACGCUGAGGCACGAAAGCGUGGGUAUCGAACAGGAUUAGAUACCCCGGUAGUC